rnacentral:rRNA from 1 species
AGUGAACGCUGGCGGUAGGCCUAACACAUGCAAGUCGAACGGCAGCACAGUAAGAGCUUGCUCUUACGGGUGGCGAGUGGCGGACGGGUGAGGCAUACAUCGGAAUCUACUUUUUCGUGGGGGAUAACGUAGGGAAACUUACGCUAAUACCGCAUACGACCUACGGGUGAAAGCAGGGGAUCUUCGGACCUUGCGCGAUUGAAUGAGCCGAUGUCGGAUUAGCUAGUUGGCGGGGUAAAGGCCCACCAAGGCGACGAUCCGUAGCUGGUCUGAGAGGAUGAUCAGCCACACUGGAACUGAGACACGGUCCAGACUCCUACGGGAGGCAGCAGUGGGGAAUAUUGGACAAUGGGCGCAAGCCUGAUCCAGCCAUACCGCGUGGGUGAAGAAGGCCUUCGGGUUGUAAAGCCCUUUUGUUGGGAAAGAAAAGCAGCAGGUUAAUACCCCGCUGUUCUGACGGUACCCAAAGAAUAAGCACCGACUAACUUCGUG